rnacentral:rRNA from 1 species
GAUGAACGCUGGCGGCGUGCCUAAUACAUGCAAGUCGAGCGAACAGACGCGGAGCUUGCUCCUCUGACGUUAGCGGAGGACGGGAGAGUCACACGUGGAUACCCUACCUAUAAGACUGGGAUAACUUCGGGAAACCGGAGCAUAUACCGGAUGAUCUAUUGAUCCGCGUGGGUCAAUAGUGAAAGACGGUUUUGGUGUCAGGUAUAGAUGGAUCCGCGCCGCAUGAGCUAGUUGGUAGGGUCACGGCUUACCAAGGCAACGAUGCGUAGCCGACCUGAGAGGGUGAUAGGCCACACGGGAGGUGAGACACGGACCAGGCUCCUACGAUACGCAGCAGUAGGGAAUCGUCCGCAGCGGUCGAGAGCCUUGCGGAGUAGCGCCACGUGAGAGAUGAAGGUCUUCGGAGCGGAAAGCUCUGUUAUGAGGUAAGAACAAAUGUGGAAGUAGCUGUGGAGGUCGUGACGGUACUGAAUCAGAAAGCCCCGGCUAACUACGUG